rnacentral:rRNA from 1 species
GAUGAACGCUGGCGGCGUGCCUAAUACAUGCAAGUCGAGCGAACAGACGAGAGUGCUUGCACUCUCUGACGUUAGCGGCGGACGGGUGAGUAACACGUGGGUAACCUACCUAUAAGACUGGGAUAACUUCGGGAAACCGGAGCUAAUACCGGAUAAUAUUUAUCUUCGCAUGAAGCAAUAGUGAAAGACGGUUCUGCUGUCACUUAUAGAUGGACCCGCGUUUUAUUAGCUAGUUGGUGAGGUAACGGCUCACCAAGGCAACGAUACAUAGCCGACCUGAGGGGGUGAUGCCCCACUCGGGGGCUGAGAAACGGCAAUGGCACCAAGGGGCGGCCGAGGGGGGUAAUUUAGCGAACAGGGCGAAAGUUUGAAGGAGGAACGGAGGGUGGAUGAAGAAAGGUUGCGGACCGUAAAACUUUCUUCGAAGGGAAAAACGCUUUCGUUUGUAACGAAACGUAACUUGGGGGAACGUGUAAAGAAGGACCGGGUAAAUAAGUG